rnacentral:rRNA from 1 species
AUAUCAAUAAGCGGAGGAAAAGAAACCAACAGGGAUUGCCUUAGUAACGGCGAGUGAAGCGGCAACAGCUCAAAUUUGAAACCUGCCUCCGGCCGGAUUGUAAUUUGCAGAGGAUGCUUUGGGAAGGGCGCUGAUCUAAGUUACUUGGAACAGUACGUCACAGAGGGUGAGAAUCCCGUCCGUGGUCGGCCGCCUGCCCCGUGUAAAGCUCCUUCAACGAGUCGAGUUGUUUGGGAAUGCAGCUCUAAAUGGGUGGUAAAUUUCAUCUAAAGCUAAAUAUUGGCCAGAGACCGAUAGCGCACAAGUA